rnacentral:pre_miRNA from 1 species
CGUGGCAGCCGCCCUCCCUGUCCUCCAGGAGCUCACUUGUGUCUGCCGUGAGCUCCUCGGGGCCAGAGCCCGUGUCUGCCUCAGUGCCAGC